AAAUGGGUUGACACGAACCCGAACCCGAAAUUAAAUGGGCUAGGUUAAGGUUGAAAAUCUCAACCCGAAAACGACCCACCUAACCCGAAAUAAAUUUUCAGGUCAAAAUCAGGUCGGGUCAACUCGAACCCGUCCUGAAAACCCGAAAUAUUUUAAGUAAAAAAAAAUCGUAAAAUCCUUUAAAAUGUAAAUAAGCCUAGCCCAAAUUCCUAAGAGGCUUCCACAUAUAAAAUUAAAACCCUAAAUUUUCAUUUUCUACCCUCAUUUUUUAUCUGCCGUUAUACCCACUUCUCUAUUCUCUCUUUGUAAUUUUCUCACUCCUCAAAAACGGCACACUCAAAAACCCUAAAAGGCUAAAAUCACUUCACCAUUGUUGAUUCAGAGUUCUUCAAUUCUUCACAAUUGUUGAAUUCGACUACAAUUGAUUUUGAUGACUUUUCUGUUGAGCAAUCAUCUAUGGCUAUGAAAUCAGAGAUGGAUAUGUAUUAUGAGGAGCCACUUAUGCCUCGAUCCAGCAACAUUGAUAUUUUAGCUUAUUGGAGAACUUGUUCGGUUCGUUACCCUGUUUUAGCUCAAAUGGCUAAGGAUGUUCUUGCUGUCCCCGUAUCAACUGUGGCUUCUGAAUCAGCCUUUAGUACCGAAAGUCGGGUACUUGAUUGUUAUAGAAGUUCAUUGAAGCUAGAAAUAGUGGAGUCUUUCAUUUUCUUAAGGGAUUAGGCUUGGGGAAGAUUCUAUGGAUUCUCAAUUGGAAAUGAUUUGUGGAUCAAUUAUGAAGCUCGAGAUGGAGAACAAGAAUGAUACGCCACAUAUAUCACCCGAAUUUGAAAAACUAGAAAGCCCUUUUGAAUCCUGUAAUGUUAUUUGAGAACUUGUAUAUUUGAACUUUGGUUUGUAGUUUGUUAGUACACUUGGUUUGUAAUUGAUAAUUAGGUAUCGUAGUUACACUAUGUUGUUUUAUGUUGGACUAUUUCCUAUUUGUUAGGUUUGAUUGUUUGAAGCAAUUAAUUUUUGUGGUUUGAAACUUGGUUGUUCACUUG